AUUGAACGCUGGCGGCAGGCCUAACACAUGCAAGUCGAGCGGAUGAGAGGAGCUUGCUUCUCGAUUCAGCGGCGGACGGGUGAGUAAUGCUUAGGAAUCUGCCUAUUAGUGGGGGACAACAUUCCGAAAGGAAUGCUAAUACCGCAUACGCCCUACGGGGGAAAGCAGGGGAUCUUCGGACCUUGCGCCAAUAGAUGAGCCUAAGUCGGAUUAGCUAGUUGGUGGGGUAAAGGCCUACCAAGGCGACGAUCUGUAGCGGGUCUGAGAGGAUGAUCCGCCACACUGGGACGGAGACACGGCCCAGACUCCUACGGGAGGCAGCAGUGGGGAAUAUUGGACAAUGGGCGGAAGCCUGAUCCAGCCAUGCCGCGUGUGUGAAGAAGGCCUUUUGGUUGUAAAGCACUUUAAGCGAGGAGGAGGCUACCUGGAUUAAUACUCUAGGAUAGUGGACGUUACUCGCAGAAUAAGCACCGGCUAACUCUGUGCCAGCCGCCGCCGUAACAC
rnacentral:rRNA from 1 species